rnacentral:rRNA from 1 species
AAUGAACGCUGGCGGCAUGCCUUACACAUGCAAGUCGAACGGCAGCAUGACCUAGCUUGCUAGGUUGAUGGCGAGUGGCGAACGGGUGAGUAAUGCAUCGGAACGUGCCUUUUAGUGGGGGAUAACGUAGCGAAAGUUACGCUAAUACCGCAUAUUCUCUGAGGAGGAAAGCAGGGGACCUUCGGGCCUUGCGCUAGAAGAGCGGCCGAUGUCGGAUUAGCUAGUUGGUGCGGUAAAGGCUCACCAAGGCAACGAUCCGUAGCGGGUCUGAGAGGAUGAUCCGCCACACUGGGACUGAGACACGGCCCAGACUCCUACGGGAGGCAGCAGUGGGGAAUUUUGGACAAUGGGCGCAAGCCUGAUCCAGCCAUGCCGCGUGAGUGAAGAAGGCCUUCGGGUUGUAAAGCUCUUUCGGCUGGGAAGAAAUCGCACCCUCUAAUACAGGGUGUGGAUGACGGUACCAGCAUAAGAAGCACCGGCUAACUACGUG